rnacentral:rRNA from 1 species
AUGCCCUCGGCGGGGGAAGAUCAACGGUUCCUACGACAUGGCAUUGGCUUCACCACCAAGCAUGCAUACGGUGCCCUCAUGGUUCGGCCAGAUAACGAUCUCAUUGCUCCUCUCAUUUGGAGCGCCAAGGCUCCUCGAAAGCUUAAAGUCUUCGCCUGGUUACUCUUCAAAGACCGCCUCAACACCAGGGUCAAUCUUGCACACAAGCAUAUAAUCGAUUCAGAUAUAUGCCCCUGGUGUGCUAGGUUACCCGAAGACUCCAGCCACCUCUUCAUCACAUGCCCUCUUGCUAAUAGGAUUUGGCAACGACUUGGGCUCCUGCCACCAACCGACGACAUCGCAGACCUAUGGGACAUCACUAUACCUCCUCACCUCUCCACCACGGCAUGGCCCUUGGUCCUCUUGGCUUUAUUAUGGAUGAUCUAG